ACAUCCAAUGCAUUAAUUAGCAGAAACAAUGUCUCCACAUAAAGUACGAGACCUUCAGGACUGAAUAAUACCAAACUUUUAUAUGAAAAUUGUGCUUGUGCAAAUAAAUAAGAAAACAUCCUAUAAAGAAGAACCAUGUUUCUCUAUGAAUCAAAAAUCUAUACAUAAUUCAUAAUAUUGUUCAUUCAAAGAUAGAUUCGUCAACUACUCGCAACUCCUCCAAUGCACUCCCUUUUCAUAUCGUCAACUGCUCAACUACUCCUAGCUCCUUUAAUGCACUUCCUUUUCAAGUCAUCAUCGCCCUGAAAAAUAGAUGAACAACGUUUACCUGAACAUAUGCUUAUAGAGAAGUGGAAGAUAAGAGAUUUUUUGAUGAAAUUAUAAGAAACUAUCAUACCAAUGCUUUGUGGUUGUGCUGGAGUGGUUGGCUUAACUACUUUUA
rnacentral:lncRNA from 1 species